GGGAUUCGGCGGGGAGAAGAAGAGAGAGAGGCGCAAGUGAGGGGGACGAGCGGAUAAGUACGUGUGGGGAGGGGGGUGAGCGUGGGGUGAGAGAAAAGGGGGGCUGGCACGUGAGGGGAGGUACCCCUUUAGGGUGAAGCCUUCAGCCGGUACUAAAGGCUCUUAGACAUAUUAGUACCGGUUGGAGGCUUCAACCGGUACUAAUGGGUGACCUUUAGUACCGGGUGAAGCCUCCACCCGGUACUAAAGGGGGUCAGGGGGGCUCCUCGGAGACUAGCCGUUAGGCUCGGUACUAAUUCUCACAUUAGUAUCGGGCUAAAAUGCAACCGGUACUGAGCCUUGAGACAAAUGCUGAGUUUUUAAGUAGCGAGGGUUCCUGAUGCUGCUCAUGCCCAAACUUGGGUGAAGAUGCUUUUGGUGCAUUUUGCUUCAUCAUUUUGUGUCUUGCAUGCAACCACCUAGUGGAGUAUGUAACUCCUUCAUGUGCUCACAAUGCAAUGUGCAGUGUGUUGGUGAAACAUAACUAUCCUAAAACUGCACUGUUGGUGCCUCAGCUUAUACAAGUCAUUUUAUAUUAUAGGUGUGCCCGACCUAUUGAACCGAUUAUUAUUGGUACAAUGAUGCAAGUAAGAGUGAAGAUGUUACCGAGCACAUGCUUUCAUCUAUGCCGUAUCACAUCCUUUGCGGUUUAUACAGGGCUAUUGCAUUCUUGCUUCUUGUUUCAACUCCAAUAUAUUGUGGUUUUGCCCUCGGUUUGUCCACUUUGUGAUUUUACUUUCACUUUUUGAAAACGAACUCCAUGUUUGCCCCUACUCCAUGAACAGCAUAUAACGGUGUCAAAUACCCUCGAAGAAGACACGUUUGCCUUUGUGAAUAUGCCCCAACUAUUUAGACAACUUUGUAAUUUUAUCCCUGUUUUACUACAUAUAUUUAGACAGCAUUUCAGCAUAUAUGAACUGAAAUUUGCCAACUAUACAUGUCAAUAGAUAUAAACAGAAAUUUGUCAACCAAAUUUUGAAAAGAAAUUGACAGCAUCAUAACAAAAACAAUAAAUCCAAACCACAUGUAUAUAUAGACACAUAACAUCCCAUAGUUCUUGUCCAACAAAAGCAACUAGUAUUGCAAUAUUACAUGCAUGUCCAGUGGCAAUGCAUCACAUUCAUGCAUCCAUCCGAUCUAUUCCUAAUAAUGCAGCCAAUCGACCUCCUCUUCUCCCUCCUCCUCCUCUAGAACCUCCUCCUAC
rnacentral:lncRNA from 1 species